CAACUAUUUUUUUUUUUAAGAGACCGAUAUCAAUUCCAUUAAAAAGUCCAAGACUUAAGAGAAUUAUACAGAACAGUUUCUAGGGUCUAGAAAAAUAUUACGAGCAAUAUAAGUCUCAAAUUCUGAAAACUUAAAAACUUGACUCAAAUUUGACCCGGUGGCAGUGAUAAUAGCAAGAACCAGAGGAGCCACUUUCUUAGAAUUGUCGUCUUUAGUAGAGUGAUCGAAAAACUCCAUUAAUAAUAAGCAAAAGCCAUAUAUUUACAUACUAAGCACAAAGAGGAGAAAACAUGAAAAACUUUUAGAAAGUCCAUAAAACCAACAGAUUCAGCUCCAAAAAAUGACUAACAAUCAUCGGAUUAAUUGAUACCCAUAGCCAUUAAGAAGAAAGAUGAGUGCUAUACCAAACAUCGAGUUAAGAGCCAUCCACAGAUCGAUAAAAAGGCUAACAAGGAUGAGGGAAGUGUGCUCUUAGACGAUCCAAAUUGUGCUUUCUGAAUCUCUGCUCAACGAGCCAUCAUUGUUGACCAAUAUUAGGCCAAGGUAGAAGAGGGAAGAAACACCGAUCUAGGAUUUCAACCACCAAGGCAAGCACGAGGAGAGAAGAAUAUGAAUCGAGAAGGUACAACCACCAGCAUGCAAAAACAUAAAACCACCAAAAAAGAGAAAAUAACCCAUAGGAAGCACAGAUCUAAAGAAAUAAAGUCUUAGAACACCCGAUCUGAAAAUCUUAGAAUAAAAGAAACAAAGAAAAUUAAGAACAAAGAAACAGAAAAAGAAGAAUAUGCUAGAAUGAAAUAGUCAGGAAAGAGGUCUCCUCUAUCCGAACGAGACGGUGAGGACUCACGACGCUAUAGUCAAUAGAGAGACUAAGCUCUCAAAGAAAAGAGAAGAAAGAAAAACAAAGACCAAGUCAAUUAUAUUACAUCUUUAAUCAUA
rnacentral:lncRNA from 1 species